rnacentral:rRNA from 2 species
ACCUUCGGGCCUCUUGCCAUCAGAUGUGCCCAGAUGGGAUUAGCUUGUUGGUGAGGUAACGGCUCACCAAGGCGACGAUCCCUAGCUGGUCUGAGAGGAUGACCAGCCACACUGGAACUGAGACACGGUCCAGACUCCUACGGGAGGCAGCAGUGGGGAAUAUUGCACAAUGGGCGCAAGCCUGAUGCAGCCAUGCCGCGUGUAUGAAGAAGGCCUUCGGGUUGUAAAGUACUUUCAGCGGGGAGGAAGGUGUUGUGGUUAAUAACCGCAGCAAUUGACGUUACCCGCAGAAGAAGCACCGGCUAACUCCGUGCCAGCAGCCGCGGUAAUACGGAGGGUGCAAGCGUUAAUCGGAAUUACUGGGCGUAAAGCGCACGCAGGCGGUCUGUCAAGUCGGAUGUGAAAUCCCC